UUGGGAAGGGGGAAGGGAGGGAACUAAUUCUGUGUUCUCUUGCCAACACUGACAAAGGUCUGGUUGUCAAUGAUACCUUUACAGCUAAAUUUACUCCAGAGUGACACGAACAGGUGCACCUCGGCCUGCCAGACACUUGUGCUGAGGGAUCACGCAUCUCACGGCCUGACGAUCAAGGGGGCAAAGCCUCGGUCUUCAUAGAAAAGGAGAGGAGGCAAACGCAGCCCAAACGGGGGGUUUCUCUUCAAAGCCAGCUGGUCUGGCUUUAUUCUACAGGAAUUUUUUUACCUGUCAGAGUUUGGACAACAAAACCCUCAGCAGGUGCUGACGGGGACAACUUUCUGGAGAAGCAAGAAAGGCACUGGUGCCAAAGAUUUGUAAACUGUGAAGUAACUCUAUGAAGAGAUGAAGUAAAGAAUGGAAAGCAAAUGACGGUAAUGGUAAAGAAGAGUAUGUGGUGAGUGCUUACAUUUAUUUUGUCAUCUACUACGAAGAUAUCAUAAAGGU
rnacentral:lncRNA from 1 species